rnacentral:RNase_P_RNA from 2 species
GAGUACGAGGAAUCGCGGCAGAUCGAACGGUUUGCUGAGGAAAGUCCAUGCUUCCACAACCUGGGAUGGUUGUAAUGAUCGUGCCUAUCGCAAGAUAGGGCAGGAGGGCAGCGGCGCUCCUGACAACGGCCAAAUCCACUCCCUGAGUGGAAAGUAGCCAUAAAGUGCCACAGAAAUCAGACAGGCUGGCGACGGCCUGGUGCAAGCGGUAAACUUCACGAGGAAGAAACCCAGUGUGUAGGGGAGCCUCUCAACGGGAAACAGAACUGGAGAGAGGAACGCCGUAAUCGCGGCGUUAGAGAAAUGAUUCCAUAGAACAGAAAAUGGCUUACAGUU